rnacentral:rRNA from 1 species
UACGAAGGGGGCUAGCGUUGUUCGGAAUCACUGGGCGUAAAGGGUGCGUAGGCGGUGCUUUAAGUCUGGGGUGAAAGCCCGUUGCUCAACAACGGAACUGCCCUGGAAACUGGAGCACUUGAGUACAGACGAGGGUGGCGGAAUAGAUGGUGUAGCGGUGAAAUGCAUAGAUACCAUCUAGAACCCCGAUUGCGAAGGCAGCUGCCUAGACUGUAACUGACGCUGAGGCACGAAAGCGUGGGGAGCGAACAGG